UCGCCAUAAAACUACGACGGAGGAAACGAGACGGUCUUUUCCGGUUUGGACAGAGAAGGAGUGCGGCAGCUCAGACAUCAUGGCCCCAGAGACCAGGCUCCUGAGAAGAUGGAUGAUCACUCGCAGGUUCAUGAGAUGUUUGCCAGGUUCAGUUAGCUUUCUUGGAUGGUGGUGUAAUCCUGAGUGAGAAGUGCGCUGGCUCCAUUUUCCCUUCUCCUGAUGAGCCUGAUAACAGCAGCUGAUGACCACAGGAGACUUCACUCGCUGAAGCUCCUGCAGAUGCUGAUGAAUGCUGUCAUUGACGGCACUGUAUGGAGCGGUGAACACUCCUGACUGAAGCGCCAUUGGAGUAUCAUCAGCCUCCACAGCACCACUGAAGAUGAGCGGGAAAGUGUGAAGCCCAACUGUUAAACGUGUUUCUGUUUCUUCAGAAAUGUGCAGUUGUGGUCUAAGCUGUACUCCUUUGUGUAAUAUACUGCCAUCGCAUGAUGACUGGC